ensembl:misc_RNA
AUGAAAAUGCUCACUAUACACUGAAAUCUUCUAUGAAUCAACAAAACAUGUACCAGCAGUACAAACUUCACCUUGCCUAAACAAUGUACAUCUCAAUUCCGACUUGAAAAGACCACCUGUAGGGGAAAAAUGUUAGUUCGGUAUCCAGGGGCCAUUCAUUCCUUUGCCACU